rnacentral:rRNA from 1 species
UACGGAGGAGGCAAGCGUUAUCCGGAAUUAUUGGGCGUAAAGCGUCCGUAGGUGGUUUAGUAAGUCUGCUGUUAAAGCGCGGGGCUUAACUCCGUAUCGGCAGUGGAAACUACUAGACUAGAGUGUGGUAGGGGUAGAGGGAAUCCCCAGUGUAGCGGUGAAAUGCGUAGAUAUCGGGAGGAACACCAGUGGCGAAGGCGACUACCUGGCCUGUUCUUGACGCUGAGGCGCGAAAGCUAGGGGAGCAAACGGG